ensembl:lncRNA
CACGGGUGUAAGGCCAGAUGAUGGUGGAGCAACAGCAGAGCUGAGCUGGAGCGUUCUCUGAAGCUGUACUUUCAUAGGAAUGAAUUAAAACAUUCGUGGACACGCACUGUAAGUGACAAAUCGUUUAGAAUACAAUGCACGCUCAGCACCUCCGGCCCCGAUGCGAAAUCGAAAGCGAAAUUAAAAAGGAUGUGUGUGCGUAUUUAAACAAUUUCAAUACCAGCAGUUUGAGAUCAUUUUUUCCAUCCAUAUAUUUCUAAAAGCAUAUGAACUUGAUACAUUAUGUCACUUAAAACAUCGUCCUCUGGUGUGACACCAUAUCCUGAUUUUAAACUCCACAGACAACUUUAAUAAGUUGAAGGGCCAGAGUAGUGUUUUACAAAAAAGCGUUUUUACUGCAUAUCCAUUUUUACAGCGUAGGACAGGGAUAGGAUGUGUACAUUGGGAUGGGAUGCGGGUGGUUAGGUGAAACUAUAGGUAUGGGGGCCCCCUUUUAAAAAUCUGCUUAGGGCCCCCAAAACGCUAGGGCCGGUCUCACAUCUGCAGAAGUUCAAUAAUAUAAAUGCUUUCCCCACACUUAAACGUUUUGAUGCCAAGGACCUCAAAUAUUAUAUAAAAAAAAAAAAAAAAAGUUGAGAAAAAUAAAAACUAUGCUAUUAUAAAGACAAUUAAAUUUGACCUUUAUAUUGUGACUGUACUAAACAGUACUAGUAAUAAUAUUUUUGCUAUUUUUAUUAGACAUUGUAUCUGAGAUUAACUCUUAAGCGCACUAUGAAAGCCAUACAAACACAGUUUGUAAAACUUGUAUAGUUUUCCCUCACAUUUUUUGUGACCCAUUUGUGGCCACUAGUUUGAAAACCAUCGCAUUACAUGUAGAACAAUAGAAAAGGUUAAAACACCAGUUUUGCUUCAGUGCCUUAAACCAGGAUUGUACAACUUGCACACCACCCAGCAACCAAAAACAAACAAAGUUUUCAAAUGGCCAUGGAAUGGAGAAACUAUUAAAGCAGUGUAUUAAAUGUGGUCAGGUAGCGGCAAAUUCUCUUGAUGGAAGAAGUUCCAUCAAGAUAUCUGAAAUACACUUUUUUUUUUUUUUUACUCUUUUCUCUUCCUUCUCAUCUCAGCAGAACAUGUGCAAGGAAGCCUUUUGCAAUCAGUCGUCAUAAGAACAGAAAUGAAUGGAAUGCUUUGCCCAUUUCUCAUCUACAAAAAAGAGAGAAUGUCAGAAAACAGCAGAUUAGAUAUAGAUAGCAUGAUUCUGAAGACUUCAGAAAGGUGUGUUUAAAUUAACUUGAAGAGCCAGGCAAAGGCACAUAUGCAUUUUUCUUCCUGCUCUUUCUGGCUCUUCAGUAUAAAAUUUAAAUGGAAAUAUCUAAUGACAAAGAGAGAAAAU